GUUCCCCUUGCUGCAUUAUAAUAUUUAUCCGUUGGCGUUUUUGCCCAGAUAUACGAUCUGACGUGUUCCGCCUUUUCUAAGCUUCGCCCUGUGUGACGUCGCUUUGUGGUUUCCCCCAAUUGGUCUGUUUCCUCAACCUAGACAUCGAUGGGUCAACCUCCAUAGGUUGCACUUGGUUUUGUUGUGGGGCCUCUUUAUUGUUUGGCUUUGGCCAAGGAUCACCCAGUUGCUGGCUAUUUUGAUUACUUUUUCCCACAAAAUGUGGGUUAUUUUCCUUACCUCUACCUUGCCUGGCCUGGGCCCGAUGACCCUGUCUAUUGCCGUCGCCUGAAUGGUUUUUUUCCUCGAUCGCCUUUACAUACGUAGCGGCAAAUGCGCUUGUCUCUAUGACAAGCUCUCUAUGACAGCUCGGCCUCUCGAGCUAGAGCUAAGGCGGAUGGCAAAUACUUGGGCUGUGCCGGGCCUCUUGAGGCCCGCUAUGAAUGCGUGUAAAGCAUCAUUUCUAAUUUCCUCGUUGAGAAUGGUAGCUGCCUCCUCAUUAUGAGUCAUGACCACUUUGUUAGUGACGAGCGUGAGCUUUC
rnacentral:lncRNA from 1 species